UACGUAGGGUGCGAGCGUUGUCCGGAAUUACUGGGCGUAAAGAGCUCGUAGGCGGUGUGUCGCGUCGGUCGUGAAAACUUGGGGCUUAACCCUGAGCUUGCGGUCGAUACGGGCAUCACUGGAGUUCGGCAGGGGAGACUGGAAUUCCUGGUGUAGCGGUGAAAUGCGCAGAUAUUCAGGAGGAACACCGAUGGCGAAGGCAGGUCUCUGGGCAUUAACUGACGUGAGGAAGCGGAAAGCAUGGGGAGCGAACAGG
rnacentral:rRNA from 1 species